AUUUUGUUUAAAUAUCAAGUUAUAAUUACAUUAGAUGUAUAAUUCAUUAUAAUACGUUAUUCUGAUUGGCUAACUGCCCAUCACGUGUUAUUCCUUAAGCAAUUGCAUUACUCAAUAAAACUUAUCAUUCAUGAUAACACGAGGUCCCACAAUAAAGUGCACAGGUGAAUUGAAUAAAAAGCUGAUAAAAUUCGUGCUUUCGUGAUCGUAGCUAAAAAAUGUAAUUAUAAGUAUUGAAUACUGCUUUUUGUAACAACAUAGGGUUGUAAAAGCAUUGACCGUGCGCACAUUUUUAGAACGAAGCGCUUCUCCGCUCCAUACAAAAUGUACUUCUGUCAACGCUUUUACACCCCAAUGAAGUUACACAGAGAUGAAUUCAAUUCUUAAAUGCAUGUAGGUGUAAUACCACCAUUGAUUUUCCCCUAUUAGUCUUUGUUAAAUUUGCACUUUCCAAAAAAAUGUGCAGAAUUUAUCCUUGUUUCAAAUAAAGAAAUACUUGGCAUGAGUAAAGUUUUGCCCUGUCCAGUUCUAUAGAAAAAAAUUCACAUAACAUUUCAUUGCAUAUAAGAAAAUAACCAUCAUUGGAAGUUAACCAAUCAAAUUUCUCCCCUUAUUUAUCUGUGUACAAGGUUUAGUCACCAUGUAACCUCAAGAUUACUAAAUUUUCUAUAGAAAUCACAAAUAAAAAUAAUGGUGUUUUGAAAUACCCAAGACAUAUGUUUAUGACACAGAAAUGGUUUUACUGCAAUAAAAUGUGGGAUUAAUUAUCUAC
rnacentral:lncRNA from 1 species